rnacentral:lncRNA from 1 species
AGUCACAUCAGCACCCUCUUAGAGUCUUGUGGCAAUAGUGUGUAAGUAAUUUUCAGGUAAUAAGUCAUAUUCAAUGGUUUGGAUUAUCGAUGUAGAACUCAUAUUAUAAAGUUUUGAUCUGAUCGGAUCUAAGUUCAAAUCCAAUCUAUCUUAUUUUAGUUUGACUCCCUCUUUCUCUCUCUCUCUGUAUAUAUAUAUAAUAUGUCUGUAUAUAUAUUUAUGUGUUUGUGUCCUCUAUUAGACAUA